CACGUAGGGGGCAAGCGUUGUCCGGAUUUAUUGGGCGUAAAGAGCUCGUAGGCGGCUCAGUAAGUCAGGUGUGAAACCUCCAGGCUCAACCUGGAGACGCCACCUGAUACUGCUGUGGCUAGAGUCCGGUAGGGGAGCGUGGAAUUCCUGGUGUAGCGGUGAAAUGCGCAGAUAUCAGGAGGAACACCAAUGGCGAAGGCAGCUCGCUGGGACGUGACUGACGCUGAGACGCGAAAGCGUGGGGAGCAAACAGG
rnacentral:rRNA from 1 species